AUCAUAAGAACAACAUUUACAAUUAUGAUGAUCUUUUUAAAAAUAACUUAUUUUGUACUUUGUUUUAUAUUUCUUGAUAAAUAACCGAUUCAGUUACGGAAUGAAUGGACAAUAAAAGGUUCAAAUUUCCGAAAAUAAACAAACAAUCAAUUGAUUAUGUUAUUCUGCAUUUGAACGUUGUCCUUGGUUAGUUUUUAUAAUGAUAAAAGUAGUAAUUAUUAAGUUAUUUUCCUGUACAAAGCCAGUUAUUAUUUUUGUUCUUUUAGCUCUUAUUACCAUUAAUUAAUAAUAAAUUUUACCAUUAAGUUAUUUAUUUUCAUGGCAAUAUUUUUUUUUAUCUGUAUUAACGAGAUUUUUAGCCCUGGGCUAGUUCAUCUCGGGACCCACGCUUUACUUCCCUUCCGAAGGAAGAAUUCACUAUUUUGUGAGUUUGUCGGGAGUGGGAUUCGAUCCCAGGUCCGCGGCGUGAUAGUCAAGUGUUCUAACCAUAAAACCAGGUCCGCUUCAAAUCGAAUUUAUUGUAUAUUUAAACAUUGUAAUCAGUGUAGCAGGGGUCGGGAAUAUUUGAUCUUUUCUUGUUAUUUUCUUUUGACCGGAUAUGGUGCUUAAAUCGGCUAUACAUGAGAACUUUCUAGAACGCCAUACCAGUUCAUACAUAGGGUCACAUAUUUGACAAGAAAUGAGCUGAGGAGGAGCAAACAUCUGUUUGACAAUAAUGAAAUCUGACCUACACAGUAAAACCGCUCAGCACUAAAAUAUGUAAGACCUACUCAUAAGUGCAUAAUUUCCAGACCACACAAAAAUGUGUAGCAGUUACACAUUCUAAAAAAAUAGCUCGUACUCUCUUCUAGAUGCGAAAUUUCGAUUUUUUGUUGUUUACCAAGGUCACUAGUAAACCUAGCUAGAUAGCCGUACAACUUUUUUUUUGCGAAUUUCACGAUUUUGUGGACGUAGGAGCUGAUUUUGUGAAUGUGCAAGGGUUACACAUUUUUGGUGCAGUCUGGAAAUUAUGCACUUUAGUGCUGAUCGGUUUUAGGGUGUAUAGUCAAACAAAAUGUUUGCGCAUUGAUUUGUAUUUUGAGAUCAUAUAUUUGUCAUGUGAACUAACAACAUAAUUGUUAUCAUUUUCUAAUAAAUCGACCUGUCAAUCAAGAGUGCUCAUAACAGAAGCAACUAGCCUUUUUGACAAAACAUAUUUUGGUUGCUUAUAGACAGUCAAGCAAACGUUUAAAACCGUUAAGUCUUUGUAGGUGAGGGUUCUCUUCAACCCAACCUGUGCCUACGCGAGCAAUGCGUAUAGCAUCGUAAAUAUACAUCAAUGCUUUCGUCACAACCGGCGAUAUGAUUUGUGCGUAUGCAAUUGUUAAAGGCAAAAUAAUGAUUGGUUAUUGGUUUUCAUUGACCACUUACUACUUUCUGUUUAUUGCAAACUAUGUCGGCCUUCAUGAAGGUCACUUUAAUAAUAUAAAACAUCGCUGCACAUUUACCUUUUACAGUUAGUAUCACUAUCGACUUCGAACUGAUUAAGAGCUUCUGUGAUCAAGAGCACUAACAUGAAGAACUUACUAUUUUUUGCUGUACUACUUACGGUAUCAGUAGUAGUGUUUAGUGAGGAUUCUAGUGCGAACAGUGAAUCCAAAGUAUUACACUCUGAAACUUCAUCCCGUGAUGUGAGGCAUAUCGGCGCAAGUGGAUACCUUUAUGGAUAUAUGCCUCAUUAUACUGUGGGAUAUUAUCCACCACAACCUUACCACGUUCAACCGUUAGGAGUCGUACCCGUAUCUAUACCUGUCUAUGGAAGCGGAAAACGUCAUAAAUCAAAAAAACAGCCGUAUGGAUUCGUCCCCCAUUACCCAUUAUUAUACUAGGAAGACUCAUCGUCAUGAUAGUGACAUUUGCAUCAAAUGAUUGUAUAGUUUGACACAUAAAUAGUGAUGAAAAUAAAUCAUA